UCUGGUUGAUCCUGCCAGUAGUCAUAUGCUUGUCUCAAAGAUUAAGCCAUGCAUGUCUAGUAUAAAUAGUAUACAGUGAAACUGCGAAUGGCUCAUUAAAACAGUUAUAGUUUAUUUGAUAAUUGACAAUUACAUGGAUAACCGUGGUAAUUCUAGAGCUAAUACAUGCUUAAACGCCCGACUUUAUGGAAGGGUGGUAUUUAUUAGACUGAAGCCAAUAUUCCUUGUGUCUAUUGCGGUGAUUCAUAAUAACUGAUCGAAUCUCUUUUUGAGAUAAAUCAUUCAAGUUUCUGCCCUAUCAGCUUUCGAUGGUAGUGUAUUGGACUACCAUGGCAGUAACGGGUAACGAAGAAUUAGGGUUCGAUUUCGGAGAGGGAGCAUGAGAAACGGCUACCACAUCUAAGGAAGGCAGCAGGCGCGUAAAUUACCCAAUCCUGACUCAGGGAGGUAGUGACAAGAAAUAGCAAACCGGGAACCUCAUGGUUUCACGGUAUUGCAAUGAGAACAAUUUAAAACCCUUAGCGAGAAUCAAGUGGAGGACAAGUCUGGUGCCAGCACCCGCGGUAAUUCCAGCUCCACUAGCGUAUAUUAAAGUUGUUGCAGUUAAAAAGCUCGUAGUUGAACCUCUGUCUGGGGCUAGUUUUGGCUUUGGUCAGGCUAGUUCUAGGCAUCCGCCUACAAGACUUAGAGGGCAUUCAGUUGUUCACUAGGAGGAGUAGGCAUUUUACUUUGAAAAAAUUAGAGUGUUUAAGGCAGGCAAUCGCCCGCAUAUAUUAGCAUGGAAUAAUAGAAUAGGACACUUUUCCAUUUCGUUGGUUAUUGGAAUCGUGUAAUGAUUAAUAGGGACAGUUGUGGGCAUUUGUAUUUAAUUGUCAGAGGUGAAAUUCUUGGAUUUAUUAAAGACAAACUAACGCGAAAGCAUUUGCCAAGGAUGUUUUCAUUAAUCAAGAACGAAAGUUAGGGGAUCAAAGACGAUCAGAUACCGUCCUAGUCUUAACUAUAAACUAUUCCGACUCAAUGUUUGACUGGCUUAUAUAACCAGUUGAGCGUUGUAUGAGAAAUCAAAGUCUUUAGGUUCUGGGGGGGGUAUGGUUGCAAAGCUGAAACUUAAAGGAAUUGACGGAAGAGCACAACCAGGAGUGGAUUCUGCGGCUUAAUUUGACUCAACACGGGGAAACUUACCAGGUUAAAACGAUAGUGGGAUUGACAGUUUGAGAGCGCUUUCUUGAUUGGUUGGGUGGUGGUGCAUGGCCGUUCUUAGUUGGUGGAGUGAUUUGUCUGCUUAAUUGCGUUAACGAACGAGACCUUAACCUGCUUACUAGACUGGCGAUCAUCAAUCGUUAGCUCUUCUUAGAGGGACUUUGGUUGUU
rnacentral:rRNA from 1 species